rnacentral:sRNA from 1 species
UAACGUGUAAUGUGUGUCCCUAAAA